UGGGGAAUCUUGCGCAAUGGGCGAAAGCCUGACGCAGCGACGCCGCGUGCGGGAUGACGGCCUUCGGGUUGUAAACCGCUGUCGGGAGGGACGAAUACAUGACGGUACCUCCAAAGGAAGCACCGGCUAACUCCGUGCCAGCAGCCGCGGUAAUACGGAGGGUGCGAGCGUUGUCCGGAAUCACUGGGCGUAAAGGGCGCGUAGGCGGCCCGGUAAGUAGGGGGUGAAAUCUUGCGGCUUAACCGCAAGGCUGCCUUCUAAACUGCCAGGCUUGAGCACAGUAGAGGCAGGUGGAAUUCCCGGUGUAGCGGUGGAAUGCGUAGAGAUCGGGAAGAACAUCGGUGGCGAAGGCGGCCUGCUGGGCUGUUGCUGACGCUGAGGCGCGACAGCGUGGGGAGCAAACAGG
rnacentral:rRNA from 1 species